GGUAAGAGGAGGCUGUGUUUAUUGAGGUCACACCCUGGCAAUAGUGGAGGAACCGAUUUCCCCCCCACCCUCGCCCUCUUCUCCAACCCACCAACCCAGGCUGCUGGUAAGAGAACUCUCCGUGGUGCUGAAAAGAGAAAAGCACAUUCAGACACACAGUGAGUGCAGUGCGGCCGUAUAAAGCAGAUAGAUAAACAGAAAGACAACAGUGAGGCAGAGGGGAUGGAGGGGCAGAAAGAUACUAGUAGAGAGAGAGCGAGAGAGAGUCAGGGAGGCAGGCAGGAGAUUUGCUGGGAGGAGGGAAGGUAGAGUAGGCGUGUUCUUUGUGGUCCGUGCUCAUGAAGCCUGGUCUCAUCUGCUAAGGCUAGUGGAGUGGAGUUCUGUGUUGAUGAGAGAGACAGUGGAGAGAUGCUCCGACUGAACACUCCCUUGACACACACACACACACAUACCGCUCUGCUUCUCAACUACGGAUACUAACUGCAUCUGAGGGUCACACACAACCGGACAGCCAAGAGUUCAUCGGAUCGGUUCAGACAGAAACCCACUAGGAGCCGCCCGAGUGUGUGUUCAGUCUGCAGAAAGUGGCUGCAUGUCAAAAGGAGUGUGUGAUGCUGGUAGGGUCUGUCUAUGUGUGUGAUGCUGGUAGAGUCUGUCUAUGUGUGUGCAGAUGAGUGUAAAGCUGGCCCCUGUGUUGGAGUCUAGCAUUGUUUGGACAGGGGCCUUGCGUCUCUCUGGCUACCCAGGGGAGGGAGCACUGGCCUGGGCAUCCACAGGCCUGGCUAUCCCCUGUCACCGCCCUGGCCCUGGAGGACUCCUUUGAGCAAGCCUAACUGUUGGGAGCGUACAAUGGCUACUGUGCUUCCCUGUGGAUUGAAGUGGCUUUCUGUACACAUGCUCCGGGAUCUAUCUGAGUUGUUCUGCGGCUCGCACUGGACCCACCUGGAGAACGUUGCUUUGGCCCUCCGCAAGCCAGCAGGGACACAGCUCCACUAAGGUUGUCGGAUCGCUUGUGAAGAAUGAUGAGCUCCAAACAGGAAGAAACUCUGAGAUUUGUCCAGUAUGUGGAAGAUAGCAGACUAGGAACCUACAGCGGGCUGGUCUCUCAGAACCUGGAUGUUGAAGAUAGCGGACUAGGAACCUACAGCGGGCUGGUCUCUCAGAACCUGGAUGUUGAAGAUAGCGGACUAGGAACCUACAGCGGGCUGGUCUCUCAGAACCUGGAUGUUGAAGAUAGCGGACUAGGAACCUACAGCGGGCUGGUCUCUCAGAACCUGGAUGUUGAAGAUAGCGGACUAGGAACCUACAGCGGGCUGGUCUCUCAGAACCUGGAUGUUGAAGAUAGCGGACUAGGAACCUACAGCGGGCUGGUCUCUCAGAACCUGGAUGUUGAAGAUAGCGGACUAGGAACCUACAGCGGGCUGGUCUCUCAGAACCUGGACCACGGCAGGAAUGAGAGGAACAGAAUUUACCUACAGGAGAAAAAGGACAAGAAGAGAAAACAGGAAGAAGCCAUAAAAAGGACGGGCGAAGAGGUGGUGACCAAGGAGAAGCACCUGCGUAUGGGCUCCAUGACCAUGCCAGCCCCCCCACAGCUUGCUUGCGGGCCGGGCUUUGCCGUGCGCUCCCAGUCACUACACUCGGUGGGCGGGGGCAGUAACGGUGGUGGAGAGGAGGAGGUGGGUAGCCCCACCUCCCGCAAGCAGCCCCCACCCAAACCCAGGAGGGACCCGGCUACCAAGCUGAGCAUUUCCUCUGAGACAGUGGACCACAGCCCCACCUUGGUCUGCAGGGGCUGCAGGGCCAAUCCAGAUGCGCCACAAGGCUGCGGCGAAGACUGCAAGAGCGUUCCUCCGCCCAAACCCAGGAGGAACCCCAACACCCAGCUGAGCACCUCCUUCGAUGAUUCCUGCAUCAGGAAGCACAUUGGCUCCAAGAGUCACUCCCCUUCUGCCGAGCGCGAGCGCAACCCCUCGCCGCCGAGCGACGAGAGCCCCAGCCACCACUCCGACUCGGAUGAGCCUGUCUACAUCGAGAUGGGCGCCAGUGUUGGGGGCGGCGGGCACACAGAGGCACCCAAGAGUGAGGACGAGGAGCCGGGAGAAUCUGUGUACGAGGAGAUGAAGUACCCUCUCCUGGAUGAAAUGGACUACUGCUGGGCUCCCCUGGGGUGCCGCUCUGCCUGCCCCACCCCGGCACCACUGGACCCUGAGCCCCUCAGCCGCUGCUCCACCCCGCGUAACAUCCCCCUCUGCGACAUCCCUGCGCCGUUCCCCAACUUGCUCACCCACCGGCCGCCCCUCCUGGUGUUCCCCCCGGCGCCGGCCCAGUGCUCACCAAACUCGGACGAGUCCCCGCUCACCCCUCUGGAUCCCCUGACGACGCUGUCCAUGAUGGACAACCCCUGCGCCUACAACAAGUCGCCCACCUCCUCUUCCGAGCCCCCCUUGGCGCACCUCCGCAGGGAGCUGACAGCCACGCCCACCCUGACCGUGUCGGGACGCUCGUCGGCUCCACCCCUGCCCUGCACCCUCUACAAGUCCUCAGCCUCCUCCGCCCACGGCUAUCAGCGCAGCCACUCAGCCUGCCCCUCUCCCGUCAGCAUGGGCCGCUGCCUCACGCCGCUUAGCCUGAUGCGCACACCGCCCUUCGACGCCCCCAUGCCCUUCCCGGGCGGGCUGCCGCACAGCGCCUCCACCACGCCCCAUGGAAAGGGCUCGCCCCCACAGGACUGUGUGGCUGGGGGCAGACUGCAUGGGUCGAUGCAGAAUGUGUCCACGGGACGCUCACGCACACCGACUAGCCCCCUGGACGAGCUGACCAACCUGUUCACCGCCGGCAGGAACAUGAUGAAGAAGAACACCGGCGGCAGGAAGUCCAAGGAGCCCGGGGAGACCGAAUCCAAGAGUAAGUCUCACAGUGAGUCAAAACGUGAUGGCAAGGAGCGGCACAGUCACAAGGAGUCCAAACGGGAGAGGAAGGAUCGUAGCAAAGAGUCUUCUUCUCACCUACGCAACACCAAGGACAGGAGCUGUAGCAGCGUGGAGCCGCUGCCCAGACGAUAUAGCAAAGACCGGGGUUGUAACAGUGUGGAGCCCUUGCCUAUGAAACGGGACAGCAGAGACUGGGGUUGUAACAGUGUGGAGCCCUUGCCUAUGAAACGGGACAGCAGAGACCGGGGUUGUAACAGUGUGGAGCCCUUGCCUAUGAAACGGGACAGCAGAGACCGGGGUUGUAACAGUGUGGAGCCCUUGCCUAUGAAACGGGACAGUAAAGGCAGAGGAUGUAAAAGUGUGGAAGUCCCGCCUGUCAGACGGGACAGCAAAGACAGAAGUGUCCACGGCAUGGAGCCGUUACUACAACUGGACAGCAAAGACUCUCCCCGGAAUUGUGUGGAGUCCAGACAUGACAGCAAAGACUCUCCCCGGAAUGGUGUGGAGUCCAGAAAUGACAGCAAAGACUCUCCCCGGAAUGGUGUGGAGUCCAGACAUGACAGCAAAGACUCUCCCCGGAAUGGUGUGGAGUCCAGACAUGACAGUAAAGACUCUCCCCGGAAUGGUGUGGAGUCCAGACAUGACAGUAAAGACUCUCCCCGGAAUGGUGUGGAGUCCAGACAUGACAGCAAAGACUCUCCCCGGAAUGGUGUGGAGUCCAGACAUGACAGCAAAGACUCUCCCUGGAAUGGUGUGGAGUCCAGAAAUGACAGCAAAGACUCUCCCCGGAAUGGUGUGGAGUCCAGACAUGACAGCAAAGACUCUCCCCGGAAUGGUGUGGAGUCCAGACACGACAGCAAAGAAAGGCUCAGCCACCAGAACCCACCGGAACUUCUACCCAGGCAAGAUAGCAAAGACCGAACCAGGAACGGAAUUGAUUUGAGACAUGACAGCAAAGUACGAAUGGAUCAGCCACCAGAGCUCCUACCAAGGCAAGAUAGCAAAGACCGAACCAGGAACGGAAUGGAUUCGAGACAUGACAACAAAGAACAAAUGGACCAGCCACCAGAGCUUCUACCCAGGGAAGAUAGCAAAGACCGAGUCAGGAACGGAAUGGAUUCGAGACACAACAGCAACGAACGAAUGGACCAGCCACCAGAGCUCCUACCCAGACAAAAAAGCAAAGAUUCACCCAGAAAUGGCCUUGAGUGCAGACGUAAUAGCAAAGACAGAGACAGGGAGAGCUACGGCCUAGAAUCUAGACAUGAGGGCAAAGAACGACGUUACAAUGGAAUGGAGCCCUUUCCCUUACCCCGACAGGAAAUCAAAGAGUCAGACAGAAAUGGCCUUGAAGCCAGGCGUGACAGCAAGGACAGAAACUGCAAUGGCUCAGAGUUGCCCCCCCGGCGCGACAGCUACGGCAAGAGUGCCAAUGGGGUAGAUCUUAGGUGCAUCAAUAAAGACUGGGUUUGCCAUAGCUCAGAGGCCUUGCCCAGGCGUGAUGUCAGAGAUAGGGGGACCUAUAGCGUGGAGCAAUCCAAAGCACAAGCGAGGAACGGUGUAUCAGGGCAACAACAAUCAUCGACUGCCACAACAACUCGGCAUGGGAGACCUGCUGGCAGUCCGCCAAUGGUGUUUGGAAGUGGCAAUACAGAGCUGAAACCAGCACCUACGAAGUAUGACCACUCCUCCUCUGGCCCAGUUACACCCUCUCCCUUAGGGACCCCACAGAGGCAAGCAUCAGAGGCACAGGCGUCCCAGAUGCCGUGGAAGUGUGGGGACAGCACCAUGCUGGAGCAGAUCGAGAGGAAACGCUCCCUGUGCAUGGAGAUCCGCUCCAGGCAGCGGCCAGACAGGAACCCCCCGGACAGGAACCUCUGUAAGCAGGACAGCAUGCCUACCCUCCCCAUCUGGGGGAAGAGCAACGGGGCCAAAAAGAUCCGGCCUCCCCCCUACCCAACACAAACCACCGUGUUCUGGGACACAGCCAUCUGACAAUAACCCGCUUGGCCUCACGCCCAUCCUCCUUCUGAACUCUGUGCCUACUGAUUGGCCUUCUCCACAUCAGAGGUGUCAGGGGCAGCCAAUAAGAGCAGGGGGGGGGAUCGCUGAUGUCAAAGGACAAUGGUGGUUACCAUAGCAAUAUUUCUGCUUGUUCAGGUUAACAUUUUUCUUAUCACCAGUGAUAUUUGAUAUUUUUCUAUUUCAUGUGACUUCGUAUGAAUAGAUAUUUUCUAAACAAAAAGCUAUGAAGCAGCAAAAAACAAUGUAGUUGUAGAUCAAUCCGAUGUAGUUUUUCAAAUGUUUUUUUUGUAUUUAACAUUUUAAAGCAUAGUCUUUCAAGCAUAAUUCUUUAUGCUAAAUGCUCAAUUCAUUUCCAAUGCUAGACGUACUCUUUUGAAUGGAGGAUAUUCUGACGGUCAACACGCUGUCACUGUUGUGGGUUGAGGAGUUCAGUUGACAGACAUACAAUACCAGUCAAAAGUUUGGACACACCUACUCAUUCAAAGGUUUUUCUUUAAUUCUUACAAUUUUCUAGGUUGUAGAAUAAUAAUGAAGACAUCAAAACUAUAAAAUAACACAUAUGGAAUAAGGUAGUAACCAAAAAAGUAUUUUAUAUUUGAGAUUCUUCAAAGUAGCCACCCUUUGCCUUGAUGACAGCUUUGCACACUCUUGGCAUUCUCUCAACCAUCUUCACCUGGAAUGCUUUUCCAAUAGUCUUGAAGGAGUUCCCACAUAUUCUGAUCACAUAUUGGCUGCUUUUCCUUCACUUUGCGUUCCAAUUCAUCCCAAACCAUCUCAAUUGGGUUGAGGUCGGGUGAUUGUGGAGACCAGGUCAUCUGAUGCAGCACUCCAUCACUCUACUUCUUGGUCAAAUAGCCCUUACACAGCCUGGUGGUGUUUUGGGUCAUUGUCCUGUUGAAAAACAAAUGAUAGUCCCACUAAGCGCAAACCAGAUGGGAUAGCGUAUUGCUGCAGAAUGCCAUGCUAGCCAUGCUGGUUAAGUGUGCCUUGAAUUCUAAAUAAAUCACUGACAGUGUCACCAGCAAAGCACCAUCACACCUUCUCCAUGCUUCACAGUGGGAAGCACACAUGCAGAGAUCAUCCGUUCACCUACUCUGCGUCUCACAAACCCACAGCAGUUGGAACCAAAAAUCCCAAAUUCAGACUCAUCAGACGUAAGGACAGAUUUCCACCGGUCUAAUGUCCAUUGCUAGUGUUUCUUGGGCCAAGCAAGUCUCUUCUUCUUAUUGGUGUCAUUUAGCAGUGGUUUCUUUGCAGCAAUUCGACCAUGAAGGCCUGAUUCAAGCAGUCUCCUCUGAACAGUUGAUGUUGAGAUGCAUCUGUUACUUGAACUCUGUAAAGCAUUUAUUUGGGCUGUAAUCUGAGGUGCAGUUAAUUGCCGAUUUCUGAGGCUGGUAACUCUAAUGAACUUAUCUUUAGCAGCAGAGGUAACUCUGGGUCUUCCUUUCCUGUGGCGGUCCUCAUGAGAGUCAGUUUCAUCAUAGCGCUUGAUGGUUUUUGCGACAGUACUUGAAGAAACUUUCAAAGUUCUUGAACUUUUCCGGAUUGACUGACUUUCAUGUCUUAAAGUAAUGAUUGACUGUCAUUUCUCUUUGCUUAUCUGAGCUGUUUUUGCCAUAAUAUGGACUUGGACUUUUACCAAAUAGGGCUAUCUUCUGUAUACCACCCCUACCUUGUCACAAUACAACUGAUUGGCUCAAACGCAUUAAGAAGGAAAGAAAUUCCACAAAUUAACUUUUAACAAGGCACACCUGUUAAUUGAAAUACAUUCCAGGUGACUACCUCAUGAAGCUGGUUGAGAGAAUGCCAAGAGUGUGCAAAGCUGUCAUCAAGGCAAAGGGUGGCUACUUUGAAGAAUCUCAAAUAUAUUUGGAUUUGUUUAACACUUUUUUAGUUACUACAUGAUUCCAUAUGUGUUAUUUCAUAGUUGUGAUGUCUUCACUAUUAUUCUACAAUGUAGAAAAACCCUUCAAUGAGUAGGUGUGUCCAAACUUUUGACUGGUACUAUGGGUUUCUAUCUGAAUCAUAAAUGUUGAUCUAAAUUCCUGGCUCUGGUUGCCAUGGGCCAAUGUGUUCUAGAAUGUAUAAUACUUAGUUCCAGAACAGGUCAGGAAUCUUGUGCUUCAGUUUGUAAGUUCACUAGCUGUGUAGUCAGUCAGAGCCUUUGAUGAGGAUUAAUUAGUAAUGAGAUGGGUUUGCUGGCAUGUAGUACACAAGUGACAAUUUUCGAUGACAUUACACGACAUUAUCAGCCGGAACAAUGAUCGCCUGAGAUUUUAGACAAAUACAUAUGCUUACAUCAGAAUAUGUGUAUAUUAUGCACUUGCUUGAGAAAUAUAUUUGGAAAAUAUGCUUAUAUAUUUUUUUGUGAGUAGUAGAGCUGUGCCAUGUAAUGCGUUUUCAUUGGUUGUCUGAGUGGUAUGGUCGCGGAUGAUUGGCUUUCUGUGACAUGCCGUCACCCAUGACUGACUGUCUGUGACGCAUUACCCCCUGUGAUUGUCGGCUGCUUGGUGGCAUCCAUUUUAGGCAUCAGAUGAUAAGGACCUAUAAGCGUGGCCGCAGCUCUGCCCAAGUAUUAAGAACAUAGAACAAGGGUUGCACAAGGACCUACAGAUCAAGACUUAAGGUAGAACAGGCUGUAGCCGGUCCACAGGGGGCUACUGCCCUCGGGACACACAGGGACCUCCACCGACUGGCUGUGGAUCACCAGCAGGAAGCCUGAACUCACAGAGCCAGUGGAACCGGGGUGGCCACGGUCACCCUGAGAACCCGGAGGACCUGUGAGGAGGAGGAGUAUAUGUGUUCACACCGAAAGACUAAUGUAUACACGUCAGAUGCGAGGUCACUUACCGUGAGGCCCAGGGUUCCCACGGGGCCCAGCCUUUCCCGGGGUCCCAUUUGGACCUGAUGGACCUGAGGGGCCACGGAUCCCACGGUGGGGUUCCUGAGUGGUAAAGACAUCAUCCAAAACCUGACCGGGCAGGCCUUUGGGACCUGCAGGGGGAUACAGAGGAACCUCAUUGUCAGAAGAACAGGACAGGUUAAACAGCUAGAAUUAUCUGAGUUCUCUAUUGGUCUCAGUCCUCACCUGCAUCCCCAGGUCUGCCUUUGUCACCUUUGGGCCCCAGGAGGCCGUAGGCGCCUGGACGACCUCUUAUUCCGUUGGGGCCCAUGUGACCCACAGGGCCUCUGGCACCUAUCAGAAAAUAACAUUAGGCACCAAACAGAGAAAACAGACUGCAUCAGGGAGGGACUACCUCGACCAUUUUUGUUAUCCCAUUUUAAAUGUUUUACAGUUUUCUGUUUCGGAGUUGUGUGUUAUGUGGUUACCUUUGGGUCCUUGUGAUCCUGAGUAGUCUGUUGGCCCUAGGGGUCCUGGUGGGCCUCUCUGUCCUUUAUGGCCAUCGGGCCCUGGUGGCCCUUGGGGGCCUGGGUCUCCUGGAGAUGGCUCUGCAGUACCAGUAGGACCCGGUUCACCGGGUGGUCCUGAAAACACUCAAAUACUGAGACAAGAAAAACACAUAGAAACACCUGACACCUGGUACACACUGACAUCUGACACCAUAAAUGCAAUUUAUUUUUCUAAGUAGGGGAUGGCUGCCGUCUACUUGGCUCUUAACCAACUAUGAUAUUUUAUCUAUUUUUUUUGCGUUGUUCGUAACUUGUUUUGUACAUAAUGUUGUUAAUACCGUAUCUUAUGACAGCAAAGAGCUUCUGGACAUCGGAACUGUGAUUACUCACCUCAAAUUGGACAAAUAGUUUUUCUUCAAAUGAGUCAAACGGGAGGGAUAUACUACAGACACCCGACUAGGCCCAGAUCCCUGUGAUUCGCUGGAGAAGGAAACUGAGAUUUCGUGGGAAAAGAUCAGGGUGCCUUGUGAGGAUCAGGCGACGAGUGGCUAAUCUGCCUUUGCCUUCCGUCCUGCUAGCUAACCUUCAAUCUCUGGAAAAUAAAUGGGACGAACUGAAAGCACGUAUAUCCUACCAACGGGACAUUAAAAACAAAUAUCUUGUGCUUCACCGAGUCGUGCCUGAACGACGACAUUAAAAAUAUACAGCUGGCGGGUUAUACACUAUCGGCAGGAUAGAACAGCAGCCUCUGGUAAGACACGGGGCGGGGGCCUAUGCAUAUAUGUAAACAACAGCUGGUGCACGAUAUCUAAGGAAGUCUCGAGGUUUUGCUCGCCUGAGGUAGAGUAUCUCAUGAUAAGCUGUAGACCACACUGUUUACUUAGAGAGUUUAUCUGUAUUUUUCGUAGCUGUCGACAGACCACCACAGACUGAUGCAGAGGCGGCGAUCCUAGUGGCUGGGGACUUUAAUGCAGGGAAGCUUAAAUCAGUUUUACCUCAUUUCCAUCAGCAUGUUAAAUGUGCCACCAGAGGGAAAAAAAUUCUAGACCACCUUUACUCCACACACAGAGACGCGUACAAAGCUCUCCCUCUCCCUCCAUUUGGCAAAUCUGACCAUAAUUCUAUCCUCCUGAUUCCUGCUUACAAGCAAAAGAUUUAAGCAGGAAGCACCAGUGACUCGGGCUAUAAAAAAGUGGUCCGACGAAGCAGAUGCUAAACUAAAGGACUGUUUUGCUAGCACAGACUGGAUUAUGUUCCCGGAUUCUUCCGAUGCCAUUGAGGAGUACACCACGUCAGUCACUGGCUUUAUCAAUAAGUGCAUCGAGGACAUUGUCCCCACAGUGACUGUACAUACAUACCCCAACCAGAAGCCAUGGAUCACAGGCAACAUCCGCACUGAGCUAAAGGGUAGAGCUGCCGCUUUCAAGGAGCGGGACUCUAACACAGAAGCUUAUAAGAAAUCCCGCUAUGUCCUCCGACGAGCCAUCAAAUAGGCAAAGCAUCAAUACAGGACUAAGAUCGAAUCGUACUACACCGCCUCCGAUGCUCGUCAGAUGUGGCAGGGCUUGCAAACUAUUACAGACUACAAAGGGAAGCACAGCCAAGAGCUGCCCAGUGAUACGAGCCUACUAGACGAGCUAAACUACUUCUAUGCUCGCUUCAAGGCAAGUAACAAACAUGCAUGAAAGCACCAGCUGUUCCGGACGACUGUGUGAUCAUGCUCUCCGUAGCCGAUGUAAGACCUUUAAACCGGUCAACAUUCACAAGGCCGCAGGGCCAGAUGGAUUACCAGGACGUGUACUGUGAGCAUGCGCUGACCAACUGGCAAGUGUCUUCACUGACAUUUACAACCUCUCCCUGACCGAGUCUGUAAUACCAACAUGUUUCAAGCAGACCACCAACAGUUUUGCUUCCGUCCCUCUCCUUGCUCCAACCUGGGAUCGAACCAGGGACCCUCUGCACACAUCAACUGCCUCCCACGAAGCAUCGUUACCUAUCGCUCCACAAAAGCCGUGGCCCUUGCAGAGCAAGGGGAACAACUACUUCAAGGUCUCAGAGCGAGUGACGUCAACAAUUGAAACUCUACUAGCGCUCACCCUGCUAACUAGCUAGUCAUUUCACACCGGUUACACAAGGACAACAACCUCUCCCUCAACAUGAUCAAGACAAAGGAGAUGAUUGUGGACUACAGGAAAAAGAGGAAUGAGCACGCCCCCAUUCUCAUCGUUGAAGCUGCAGUGCAGCAGGUUGAGAGCUUCAAGUUCCUUGGCGUCCAUCACCAACAAACUAACAUGGUUCAAGUACACCAAGACAGUUGAGAAGAGGCCUAGACAAAACCAAGUUUCCCCUCAAGACUGAAAAGAUUUGGCAUGGGUCCUCAGAUCCUCAAAAGGUUUUACAGCUGCACCAUCGAGAGCAUCCUGACUGGUUGCAUCACUGCCUGGUAUGGGAAGUUCUCGGCCUCUGACUGCAAGGCACUACAGAGGGUAGUGCGAACGGCCCAGUACACCACCGGGGCCAAGCUUCCUGCCAUCCAGGACCUCUAUACCAGGCGGUGUCAGAGGAAGGCCCUAACAAUGGCCAAACACUCCGCCACCCAGGUCAUAGACUGUUCUCUCUGCUACCGCACAGCAAGCGGUACUGGAGCGCCAAGUCUAGGUCCAAGAGGCUUCUAAACAGCUUCUAACCCCAAGCCAUAAAACUCCUGAACAGCUAAUCAAAUGGAUACCCAGUCUAUUUGCAUUGUCCCACCCCCCUUUCCUACGCUGCUGCUACUCUCUGUUAUUAUCUAUGCAUAGUCACUUUAAUAACUCUACCUACAUGUACAUUACCUCAAUUACCUCGACACCGGUCCCCCGCAGAUUGACUCUGUACCGGUACCCCCUGUAUAUAGCCCCACUAUUGUUAUUUACUGCUGCUCUUUAAUUAUUUGUUAUUCUUAUCUCUUACCUUUUUUCUUGUAUUUUCUAAAAACUGCAUUGUUAGUUAAGGGCUUGUAAGUAAGCAUUUCAUUAUUCGGCACGUGACAAAUAAAAUUUGCUUUGGUACACACUGACAGACUGUUUGACAUCUGACACCUGGUGCACAAUGACAGACAUCUGACACUUGAUACACACUGAUAGACUAAUAGACAGAGAUAUAUACAGAUACAGACAGACACAGAUACAGACAGACAGACACACAUGCACACACACACACACACCUGGAGGUCCAUGAAUGCCUUGGUAUCCUGGCUCUCCGUUGGGUCCUCUGUGACAUUCUGUGCACUCUCCACCGGAACCACCAGGCUCACCAGUGACUCCUGUUGGUCCUGGGUGACAUUACACUUUCAGUCAACCUUACAGGAGUCAUACAGUAGCUAACAUCAUGUCAACACCCCAUCCACUCAACACUCACAUGUACCUCACUCCACCGGGGAACUACGCAGUAAUGACACACAAUGUACUGUAUCUACUGUAUAGAAACUUAAAAAGAAAAAUCACACAGUUAAAUGGUUUUGUUUUUAAUACAUUUGGAAAAAAUGUCUAAAAACCUGUUUUUGCUUUGUCAUUAUGGGGUAUUGUGUGUAGAUUCAUAAAUUUUUUAAUAAAUCUGUAAUGUAACAAAAUGUGGGAAAAAAAAGUCCAGGGGUCUGAAUACUUUCCGAAUGCACUGUAUAUCAACUUAAAAUAAAAUCGCACACCAACCUUUUGCUA